AUGCUCAAAAAGGUUCAGCCAAGGUUGAGUCCAACUUAGUGAUGAGGUGUGAUGGAUGAUGGAUAAAGGUGAGGACCUUCACCAAGUGUGUGAAGAUUUGGGCAAACGAUAAACAUAUAGAAGACAAGAUAUACGUGGUUCACCCGAAUGAUGGGCUACGUCCACAGAGAAGGAUGUUCUCAUUAUGAUAAUGUUUGUUUACAUUUGUACAAGGGGAUUAGACCCAAAUAUAAAGAUAGCAAGUGAGAAGCCCAGUCCAGAGAUGGAUCCAGAAGAGAGAGUCCAAGGCCUAAAGGUCUAGAUCCAAGACCCGGAUCCUCUUCUAAGGAAAGAGCAGUCUUCUUUUAUAGGUGAGGGGGAGUCUUCAUCUCUUGUAGUUUUCCGAUGUGGGACUCCUCCUGCUUUGCUUAGAGUUGUGAUUUGUGGUGAUGCUUCUUUGGCUAAGGUGAUGACCUCUCAAAGCAUGACACGUGGAUGAUCUAGCCUAGCUAGUUGCUCGGUCAGUUACGGUACCAACAGUAGUCCCCCAAGUUCUCGAGUAAGAAGGUACUUCUUGGUUGGGGACUUGUAAUUUUAAGUGCACUGGCCGAGCAACACCAUAGUUCAUCUUCCAAGCUGUAUAGUGCACUACCCAUAGUCCCCCAAGUCCCCGGGUAAGAAGGACAUUUGGAAGGGAGAGAACUUGGCACGAGGGUGUCGAAGGUGAAGGGGUUGUCGAAGGCACAAAGCUUGCAUGUCGCAAGGCAAUGUGCCUAGGCACGAGGGUGCCGAAGGCAUAAGAAUUGCAUGUCGCAAGGCGAUGGGCCUAGGCACAAGGGUGCCGAAGGCAUAAGACUUACAUGUUGCAAGACAAUAGAGCUAGGCACGGGGGUGCCGAAGGCAUAGGGGAUGCCGAAGGCACAAAGCUUGCAUGUCGCAAGGCUAUGUGCCUAGGCACGAGGGUGCCGAAGGCAUAGGACUUGCAUGUUGCAAGAUAAUAGAGCUAGGCACGGGGGUGCCGAAGGCAUAGGGGAUGCCGAAGGCACAAAGCUUGCAUGUCACAAGGCAAUGUGCCUAGGCACGAGGGUGCCGAAGGCAUAAGAAUUGCAUGUCGCAAGGCGAUGGGCCUAGGCACAAGGGUGCCGAAGGCAUAAGACUUACAUGUUGCAAGACAAUAGAGCUAGGCACGGGGGUGCCGAAGGCAUAGGGGAUGCCGAAGGCACAAAGCAUGCAUGUCGCAAGGCUAUGUGCCUAGGCACGAGGGUGCCGAAGGCAUAGGACUUGCAUGUUGCAAGACAAUAGAGCUAGGCACGGGGGUGCCGAAGGCAUAGGGGAUGCCGAAGGCACAAAGCUUGCAUGUCGCAAGGCUAUGUGCCUAGGCACGAGGGCCGAAGGCAUAGGACUUGCAUGUUGCAAGAUAAUAGAGCUAGGCACGGGGGUGCCGAAGGCAUAGGGGAUGCCGAAGGCACAAAGCUUGCAUGUCGCAAGGCAAUGUGCCUAGGCACGAGGGUGCCGAAGGCAUAAGAAUUGCAUGUCGCAAGGUGAUGGGCCUAGGCACGAGGGUGCUGAAGGAACAAAGCUUGCAUGUUGCAAGGCGAUGUGGCCUAGGCACAAGGGUGCCAAAGGCAUAAGACUUGCAUGUUGCAAGACAAUGGAGCUAGGCACGGAGGUGCCGAAGGCAAAGGGGAUGCCGAAGGCACAAAGCUUGCAUGUUGCAAGGCAAUGUGCCUAGGCACGAGGGUGCCGAAGGCAUAAGAAUUGCAUGUCGCAAGGUGAUGGGCGUAGGCACGAGGGUGCUGAAGGAACAAAGCUUGCAUGUUGCAAGGCGAUGUGGCCUAGGCACGAGGGUGCCGAAGGCAUAAGACUUACAUGUUGCAAGACAAUGGAGCUAGGCACGGAGGUGCCGAAGGCAAAGGGGAUGCCGAAGGCACAAAGCUUGCAUGUCGCAAGGCAAUGUGCCUAGGCACGAGGGUGCCGAAGGCAUAAGAAUUGCAUGUCGCAAGGUGAUGGGCGUAGGCACGAGGGUGCUGAAGGAACAAAGCUUGCAUGUUGCAAGGUGAUGUGGCCUAGGCACGAGGGUGCCGAAGGCAUAAGACUUACAUGUUGCAAGACAAUGGAGCUAGGCACGGAGGUGCCGAAGGCAAAGGGGAUGCCGAAGGCACAAAGCUUGCAUGUCGCAAGGCAAUGUGCCUAGGCACGAAGGUGCCGAAGGCAUAAGAAUUGCAUGUCGCAAGGUGAUGGGCCUAGGCACGAGGGUGCUGAAGGAACAAAGCUUGCAUGUUGCAAGGUGAUGUGGCCUAGGCACGAGGGUGCUGAAGGAACAAAGCUUGCAUGUUGCAAGGCGAUGUGGCCUAGGCACGAGGGUGCUGAAGGAAGAAAGCUUGCAUACGUGCAAAUAAUAAUAAUAAUAAUAGCUUUUGUUUUUUUUUUUGGAAGCUCGGGAGCUAGACCUUCGGCAGGCUGAGGCUGUUGAAAAUUUUGGGGGCUCUCCUCUCCUUCCAUGGUCCUUGCCGUUCGGCAAGGGUCUAGCCCUUUUUUUUUUUUUUUUUUGAGGCCGGGCCUUUGCCUUUGUGGGUUUGUUGCUGUUUCUUUCAUGGCCCUUGCCGUUCGGCAAGGGACCAAAGUGGGUUUGGCUAACGAGGUUGAGAGGGUUGGACCCGAGAUGGGCCUUGGCCAAAUGAGAAAAGAAUAGGAGCUAGGGUUUUGCAUUGUGAGAAAGGGAUAGAUAAAAAUCCACAGCCCUUGCCGUUCGGCAAGACAUAGCUGAGACUUUAAUAUAGGUAAGUCUGGUGCUAUCCCUUCGGCACGGUCCUUGCUUUCGACAGUUGGAGCUCUCAUUUCCUUCGGCAAGGGUGUUGGGUGCCGAGGCAAAGCUGGGCUGUGUAGUGAGUUUUGGGGGCUCUAGUCGAUCGGCAGGGGCGGUUUCGAAGGUGUGCUGUGAGCUUUCGAGGUGGCAUCGUGGGCUGGGUUCUUGAUAUAGAGGCAAGAACUUUCGAGCUGUCAGGACGUGUCUUGCCGUUCGGCAAGGGAUUUGGAAGCCAAACUCGCAGGUCCGCACGGCAAGGGUGGAUUGGUGCCGUUUGCAAGAGCCGGGUCUCGUUCGGCAGGUGGUUUUUGAGCGAGGGUGGAGCUGAUCACGGUCUUGCCGUUCGGCAAGGUUUCCACGACUGGUUCAAAUUGCUGGCAGGACAGCGUCGGCAGGGCUACACAACUGGUUCAAGUCGUUGGCGAGAGCUUCGGCAAGGCCACACGACCUGGUUCAAGUCGUUGGCGAGAGCUUCGGCAAGGCCACACGACCUGGUUCAAGUCGUCCGCUUGUGGGUUUCCGUUAGGGUCUGCACAGCCCUUGCCGUUCGGUAGGGCUUUGGUCAAGAAAAUUUCUAACCCCUCUGCCUGUCAGCAAGAAGGAAAGGCCUGGAUUAAGGGAUGUGAGCUGGGUCUGCCUUCGGUGACUAGGGUGCGUGCCAUAUGUUGAUUGGGCUUGGCACGAGGCAAGGGGCUGGGUGAAGAAUCGGUGCUGGUCCUUCAGCAGUCGGGCACGUCCCUGAGGUUGCGGUAGGAGGGUGAAGCCGGGCUGCGUGGAUAUUUUGGCCAGAGCUGGAGUUGCUACAACAGUCCUUGCGGGCGAGCGCUAGACGGCUCGACAUCAGUCCCUGCCGAACGGUAAGGUUGGCGUGACUUUUUGGUGAAGGGUUUGUGAGCUGAAGGGGGGGUGACCUGAGUAAUUAUUCAGUCUGUGGGUGCCGAACGGCAGCUUUGGUUUCCACUAGCAUUUAAGGGGAGCAUGAUGUAGGACGGUAGCUAGGUGCCAUCAAAGAUUUCUGCAGAGAUACCUUCUGUUUCAUAUUUGCCAAAUGGCCUGAAGCAAUGUUUGUUGGUUAUCAACAACAUUAUCCCUCAAAUAAUAAUAAACAAUAAGCAAUUAGUCAUGUUGCUUAUCAUUUGCAGAUUAUUCACGUGGCCUAGCCUUGGAUUUCUUCAUCCCAGUGGUGGUCCACUCCUUCCAAUAUUAAAUAAGGUAGCCAAUGAUGAAAUAAAGUCCCCUGGUAUAAAAUAGUGGCUUCCUCUUUUGGUCAUGCAAGCCAUGCAAGACAGGGUGCCGAAGGCAUCGUUCACGUUGGAGAGGCCGAGUGCUGAAAGCAUCGCACAUGCCGAGUAAUGCUGAGGUGGCGAACAUAUCGCUCGCACCGAAUAACUACGUGGACUUCCAUUUGCAUUGAAAUGGUGGCUUGCUCUCUGGCCAUGCAAACCAUGUAAAGUAAUAUCCUUGGUUGGCAUCUUCCCAAUUGAAAUUCUUCAAGGUGACCUAACGGUAGGCUGCUUUUGCAAAUAUGUCUUCUGUAUGCUGGUGCCUUCAAACCCCAGGGUGUCUUCGACACAAAUGGUGCUAAACGGUAAGCCAAAAUAUGAUGCUGGAAAGGGUGCCGAGGGCACUAAAGGAAAGGAAGAACAUAAGCUUUUUGUGUUGAUUCCCACAGACGGCGCCAAACUGUUGAUGCUCAAAAUGGUUCAGCCAAGGUUGAGUCCAACUUAGUGAUGAGGUGUGAUGGAUGAUGGAUGAAGGUGAGGACCUUCACCAAGUGUGUGAAGAUUUGGGCAAACGAUAAACAUAUAGAAGACAAGAUAUACGUGGUUCACCCGAAUGAUGGGCUACGUCCACAGAGAAGGAUGUUCUCAUUAUGAUAAUGUUUGUUUACAUUUGUACAAGGGGAUUAGACCCAAAUAUAAAGAUAGCAAGUGAGAAGCCCAGUCCAGAGAUGGAUCCAGAAGAGAGAGUCCAAGGCCUAAAGGUCUAGAUCCAAGACCCGGAUCCUCUUCU
rnacentral:lncRNA from 1 species